UUUAAUUGACCUGUCAAAACAUGUACCCGGCUUUCACGUUAAUCUUAUAUAGGCUCGAACAGAAUAUAACGAAAGCCGGGUCCAUAUUUUGACAGGUCAAAUAAAUUGGACAAUACGUUGUACCGAAAAUAUGAUUAUUUGAUCUAAGUCUACCACUGGAGUGGAGUCAAAGGAUAAUUUUUAAAAACGCGGCUGCCGUAGCUACGUCAGUGAGGCAGGGUCACUCAAAAUGUCUCACUAUGGGGAAACAUCGUAAAAUGGCGUAUGUACAAGGUGGUGAGUACGGCGCUCAAUUAUUUACAGAGCAGAGUAAAAGCAGAUAAAAACGACGUUGCAGCUUAUUGGGAUGAUGUCGCCAGGGCCCUCUUGAAAGCCUCGACGCUUUCGGCUUCCUGUGGGAGCCGGUUCCAUAGUCUGGUGGCGGAGGCGAAGGAGUGAAGGAGGACAUCAAUGUGACAACACCGAGGGCGCGAUAAUCGUCAGUACUAAAUGUAAUGUUUUCAUUCUGCUACACAUUCGGUUGGGGUAUUUGUCAAUCUAAUUUGACUGGUUCAGAUUGCUUUGUUGAAAUGGCUUAAAGAGAAAAAAAACCUGGUGAAUCAGGCUGACACUGUCUCCAUAACGUUGUGAACAUUAAAUAUGACUUUGGAUUAGUCAUACGUCGAAUCUUUAAGUAUUUAUUUCUUCAGUGGUGCUUGUGUUCCCUGCUUUAAAGAAUGUAAAUAUUAAGUACCGCCAUUUAAAAAAAAAACAACAACAACAUUCUAACAACCCCGCUGAAUGCUGUUUCAACAGUUGCCUUUUGGACGUCAUAGUUAAAACUGGAAUCAGUAUCUUUUUAACAUAUAUUAUUGUGUUUUAAAGUCAUCAGAAAGGCAUAGAGUAGAUCAGAAUUGAUAGAGACUCCGAAUGUUAAAGUUGAUCCUGCUCCGAGUUGCUUUAUUUCGUGAUAUAAUAUGUAAUUUAAACUCUGGAAACAUGUUUCUAUUUGUAAUGAAAUUUCAGUGUUUCUGCUAUACAGUAUAGAUAACUUUUUUUUUGUACUAGAAUAUGCACUUUUUGAGUAAAAUCAGUAAGUAAUUGGGAAUAGAUGGUGAACACCUUUCCUUUUUCAGCAUUAGAAAUCAAUAGUCAUUAGAUAACACUCAAAACUAUAGAAUGUUAAUAGAAGAAAAAAAUAGGGGCAUUUAGGGUUUAGGUCAGAAAUUCUCAAUUCUAUAAAUUACGUUUGACGCAUACUAGUAAUUCGCGUUUCAUACUCGUAUGUUUCAAGUGUAAUUUAUAAACAAAACGAAAAAUAAAGAUAAACUCUUUCUCCUAAAAUGUCAAUUUAGUGUCAAUAUUAAUUACUGAGGCUUCCCAUGGUUCUUUAGCAGCCGCUUCCUUAAUACACGAGUCCUAGAUUUAAAUAGAUACCAAAGUAAAAAGUAUGAGCAGGUCUUUCAUUCAUCCAACCACUCAUACAACAAAUUGUCAUUCACUAAUGAUAACUAUCAUAUAUUCCUGUAGGAAUAUUCCUCAUAGAAUAGUAGAGCUACUGGACUCGCCCGUCCCCAUUUUUCAACUUAGAAUGUCUGGUUAAUGUUUUGUAUGUAAGCUGGUAUCUCAGUAACCACUUGUUGGAAUGGAUUGAUACUUCAAACACAUGUUCACUCUCAUAAUUUGACAUGUAGUGUGCAGGCCCUUUAACUCUACUUUGCAUAUUUUCAAAAUUAUGCCCCUUUUUCGACUUAUAAGUUUUUGGUUAAGCUUUUGUAUGUAAGCUGGUAUCUCAAAAUCCACUAAUAGGAGUGGAUUGAAACUUCACACACUUGUUCACUGUCAUGAUAUGACAUGCAAUGCAAAGGUUCAAUAACUCUGUUUUGCAAUUUUACAAAAUUAUGCCCCUUUUUUAACUUGGCAGUUUUUGGUUAAAUUUUUAUAUGUAAGCUGGUAUCUCAGUACCUACUAAUAGGAGUGGAUUGAAACUUCACACACUUGUCUACUGUCAUGAGCUGAUAAGCACUGUGCAGGUUCUAUAACACUGUUUUGCAGUUGUACAAAAUUAUGCCCCUUUUCGACUUUUGUAUUCAUUCAGCUGACAAGGCUGUUGGAUAGUCGAGCGUUGAUGUCCUUCGGCAGCUCUUGUUUUAUAUAUAUAUAUUUUUUAUUUUUUUUAUCUAAGUGUUGUAUUCGUAUAGCAUCUGUGAUAUUUAUGAUUAGUCUUUUAUAACUCAUUAAUGAGUGGCAUCUGUGUACUAUGUUAUGUAAUGUGUAUGUAAAUAUAUACAUGUAUGUUUAUGUUUUAUGUAGUGAUGUACAUGAUGAUGAGACUGAAAUAAAUAAAUUAUCUAUCUAUGUGAAACUUGUAGCUUGUAUUUUGUACUUUUUUUUUCCUUCGGUAUAAUGU